rnacentral:ncRNA from 1 species
AACUAUGGCAAUAGAAAGUUAUCAUUAUUUUAUCUGCAUAAAUUAAUUUUAUUGAAUUUUGGUUUAAGUUUAUCCAUUUUAUUAGCAGUUAGUAUUUUAUUUGAAUUAGCGUUCUGUGAGAGAAUAUUGUAUGAAGGGGAUAGGACACAGUGCCAGCAUCCGCGGUUAUUCUGUUUUCUUUGCUUUUAUAUAAGUUUGUAUCAUAUAUUUAUAAAUAAUAUUGGGUGAAAUCUUUUUGUUUUUAUAUUUUGUAUAUGGUGUAUAAAAUACAUUGGUAAAUGACAGGGAUUAGAUACCCCAUUAAUUAAUGAUUUAUAUUUUCUUUAGUUUUUAACUAAAAUAGUUUGGCAGCGGGAGAUUCUUUUCGGGGGAAGGUGUGUUAUAAAGGAUGAUCCGCCUAAUAAUUUACUUUCUUUAUGUUGGUGUAUAUCUGGUUUAAUAUUAUUGUUGAGUAAUUAAAUUUGUGUAAUUAUUAUUUAAGCCAAGUCUAUGUGCUGCUUGUGAAAGUAUUCAUGCGUUACAUUUAUAAAUAUUUAUUUGUAAUAAUAAGUUAAUUAGGACUCGAUAGUAAUAUUUAAUAAAUUUGUAGAUAUGAAUUAAGUUUAACCUGGGUACACACCGCCCGUCACCCUCGAUUAUAAUUGAGGUAAGUCGUAACAAGGUAACUUUAAAGGAAUUUGAAGUUAAUUACCAUUGUAAUUUAUUAAUGGUUAAA